CCGGACCUGCUUUCGAAUACAAAAAGAGGGAAACCUGCAUUAGAAGAGAAUUCUAGGGCUGAUCCUUGGUUCGGCGCUUCAUUCCUUACUUCAGCAUGCAAGGAGCUACAUAAGGAUCGGGGCACGAGGGAUAUUCUUCUUAGUGGGCGGUUGUGCCAGGGCCUCUACCGUCUGGAGCAUCCUGGCGUCGCUCGCGUUUUCAGUGGAGUUCGGGUCUCUCCGUCACAGUGGCAUGCUCGUCUUGGUCACCCGGCCACACCUAUUGUCCGUCAUAUUUUGCGUCGUCAUGAGCUUCCUAGUUUGUCUAGUAAUAAAGAUGUAGCAAUGUGUGAUGCUUGUCAGCAGGGGAAGAGUCAUCAACUUCCUUUUUCGGAGUCCAGUCGUGAGGUGAAACAUCCUUUAGAACUUGUGUUUUCAGAUGUAUGGGGUCCUGCUCAGACUUCUGUCAGUGGUCAUAAUUACUAUAUCAGUUUCGUUGAUGCUUAUAGUCGCUUUACCUGGCUUUACCUUAUUAAACGCAAAUCUGAUGUGUUUGAUAUUUUUGUUCAGUUUCAAAAACAUGUUGAACGUCUUCUCAAGCACAAAAUUGUUCAUGUCCAG
rnacentral:rRNA from 1 species